CGGAAAACAGAUUUAAACCAAGUUUGAACCAUUGCUUCGGUUUGUCAGUAGCGAGAGAAAACGUUGGUAGUAGUGAGGUCUGGAUGCUAAAGCAAACUCUGGAGCUGCUUUUUUCACGUUAAUGAAGAGGUCUGGAUGCUAAAGCAAACUCUGGAGCUGCUUUUUUGUCGAACACGAGUAAGACUUGACGCUGAACGCACCUCCAGCGCGAAGGUUUGCUAGUUCAGCUGUUGCAGCCUGGACAAAGAUGCCACCUCUCAGCUCACAAAACAAACAGGUUUCACCACUUCAUUCAUGAUCGUAAAGAAUGAAGAAGUUCUUUGAGACCAGGACAGAGGCCUCCAGGAUUCAAACUUCAAACAUUAAAGAACAGAGAGAAGAGACACAGAUGUCAAGACAUUUCCAUAAGGUUUUCCACUGCUGUUGUCUUCUCCUGCAGAGACAAGAACACGUGUUAAGCACAGAAACAGAUCAAUAAAUCUAUUUUUCCUUUCCUAAACUGUGCUUAUUAAUUUUUUAUACCUAAUUGCAGGGAUUUAAGCUAAACUUUUUACAAUGCAGUCAGUAUCACAUGUUUUUCCAGUUACAGUGAUGUCUAGAAAGAGUUCUGAAACUCUAUAUAAAAUAAGAACCUACUGUAAUUACUGUGACUGGCACGUCACUGUGAGUUGUGGACAAUGUCUCUCUGAUCAUGGACCAUGUCUCUGUGCUUAUGGACAUCGGGGACGAGGUGGUGACAUCUGGAGGACAUCAAAGAGAAACAUACAAAGCAAAAUGAUUGAUACACUACUACUUAUUCCUCAUCAACUGUUUAGCCAUGAAAACACAGAAAUAUUCAACAUUACAGACAAACCAGAACAUUUAACAAACAUAAAAGGGGGCUGUUUCAGAAAAUCAAUAGUUGCCUGUUAUCACCAACAAAUCACUGAAGCAAUCUUGUAUGUUACUGUGAACUGCACAGCAAUAAUAAACAUUGUCAUUUAAGUCAA